AUGAAGGUCUCUGCCUGUCAACUGGAGUCACUCAAGCUGGAGAACUGUGGUAUCACAUCAGCCAGCUGCAAGGAUCUGUGUGAUGUUGUGGCCUCCAACGCCUCACUGCAGGAACUGGACUUGGGCAGCAACAAGCUGGGUAAUGCAGGCAUUGCAGCACUGUGCCCGGGACUGCUGCUUUCCAGCUGUUAGCUCAGAACUCUGUGGCUCUAGGAGUGUGAUGUCACUGCAGAGGGCUGCAAGGACCAUUGCUGUGUCCUCAGGGCCAAGCAGAGCCUGAAGGAACUCACCCUAGCUGCCAAUGAGCUGAAGGAUGAGGGGGCACGGCUGCUGUGUGAGAGCCUAUUAGAGCCUGGCUAUCAUCUAGAGUCACUGUGGGUAAAGACCUGUAGCCUAACAGCUGCCUCUUGUCCCCACUUCUGCUCCGUGUUGACCAAAGACUGUUCUCUGCUAGAGCUGCAAAUGAGCAGCAAUCCACUGGGAGACUUGGGAGUCCAGGAGCUUUGCACGGCCCUGAGCCAGCCAGACCCAGUGCCACGUCUGCUUUGGCUGGGAGACUGGGAUGUGACAGAUAGUCAUUGCAGUAGCCUUGCCACUGUCCUGCUGGCCAACCACAGCCUGGUUAAUCUGGACCUCAGUAACAACUCUGUGGGGGGCUCAGGUCCUGCAACUGCUGGAGAGCCUCAAACAGCCCAGCUGUGCCCGUCAGCAGCAUGUCCUGUGUGACAUUUACUGGGCAGAUGAGGUGGAAGACCAUCUUCGGGCCCUGGAGGAGGAAAGGCCUUCCUGGAGGAUCGUUUCCUGAUAUGUGCGCCUCUGGACACAUCAAUCCAGCCCUAGGGGCAGCCAGCAGGAUCGCUGGCUCUGGGUAUCCUAGU